rnacentral:rRNA from 1 species
AUGUCCCACCACACCACACUGACAUACCUAAUCUCCUCUGAUUUAAGAAGCUAAGCAGAAUCAGGCCAAGUUUGCACUUGGAUGGGAGACCAUUAGGAAUACCAGAGAUAUC